rnacentral:tRNA from 1 species
GCCCGCCUAGCUCAAUAGGAUAGAGCGUCAGACUCUUAUGAUCAUUAGGCGGAUCUGAAGGCUGCGAGUUCGACCCUCGCGGUGGGCU